GAAAAGAACUUUGAAGAGAGAGUUCAAGAGUACGUGAAACCGUUCAGGGGUAAACCUGAGAAACCCAAAAGAUCGAAUGGGGAGAUUCAUCGUCGACGAAGCUGGCUCCCGUUGGUGCGCGAUACCCCGAAUGGGCCUUAACCGUUCCAAGGCGAGGGUACACCACCUGCGGCGAACGAUCCGGCGACGUAGUCGUGCACUUCUCCCUUAGUAGAACGUCGCGACCCGUUGUGUGUCGGUCUACGGCCUGGGCUAAUUGCCUGUCGCGGCGCCUUCGUACGCUCGCGGCAGAGGCUCGGUCGCCUGGCCGGCUGCACGACGGUACUCUGACGGUAUCGGGCCGCAACCAAUCCAUUCUCGAAUGUGUGUGCGUCGGACCCGUCGCAAGCUCGGACAGAUUUACUCGGAGUGUGCGGACCUAGUGCCCUCACCGGGUCUGGCCAGCUGUUGGCAGACGGUGUUCUUGGACUGGCCAAGCUUUGAAUUACCGGUCGGCGACGCUACUGCUUUGGGUACUCUCAGGACCCGUCUUGAAACACGGACCAAGGAGUCUAACAUGUGCGCGAGUCAUUGGGACAUGUAAACCUAAAGGCGCAAUGAAAGUGAAGGUCGGCCUCGGCGUCGACCAAGGGAGGAUGGGCCGCUUACGUCCCGGCCCCGCACUCCCGGGGCGUCUCGUUCUCAUUGCGAGAAGAGGCGCACCCAGAGCGUACACGUU
rnacentral:rRNA from 1 species